ensembl:lncRNA
AUGAAAAUAAAUGGUCCGUUCAAUGCUACAUCAGGAGUGACACGUCCACUUCCCUGCGAGAGAGGGUUUUAUUGUCCCAGCGGUUCGGCGAAUCAGCGCCCCUGUCCGGCGGGCACCUAUGGGAACGGGUCGGGGCUGGUGGAGGAGCGGCAGUGCUCGCGCUGUGACCCUGGGAUGUAUUGUAAAGGAGCAGGUACAACUCUGACCCCCGUUAUUUCUCCGGGACGCGACCGCCGCUGUAAUGGAGGCACCAUAAACCUGGCUCAGAUGAUGCUACGUGUCGUUACAGGGGGUGCGGUUCCGAGUGGCGCGUGUGCUGCGGGGUUUGUUUGUGUGGGCGGAGCCUCUCAGCCUUCGCCGGCCGACGGGCUGACCGGGUUCCCGUGCCCUCCUGGGUUCUUCUGUGCGACGGGCACAUCGGUACCAAAACCCUGCCCACGAGGAACGUUCAGUGAGCAGAGUGGCCUCGUGGGCGAAUCCCAGUGUCGUAGCUGCAUCCCUGGCUUCUACUGCUCAGAGACGGGCCUCUCCGCCGUCUCCGGACCCUGCCUGCCAGGGUUCUACUGCCUGGAGGGCUCCCGGACGGCCACGCCCGCGUCGAGCGCAUCCGGAGGCGUUUGUCCAACAGGCCACUACUGUGCAGAGGGCAGUGGCGUGCCGUCGCCCUGCCCUGCUGGCUCCUACCUGAAUGACACCGGUGCCAACAGCGAGGAUGCCUGCAGGCCAUGCCCCCCUGGUUGGUUCCAGGAUUUAUCAGGCCAGAACAAGUGUAAUCCCUGCCCUCCCGGGUUCCACUGCCAGGCUCUGAGUCCCAGCCCCACCAGGGGCAGCCUCACUGGAGUGUCGGCCCCCUCGCCCUGCCCAGCUGGCUACAUCUGCCCCAGAGGGAGUCCAGGCACUCAGCCUGUCCCCUGCCCUAAAGGCACCUACAGCCACAACCAGGGUCUCACAGCGAUAGGCGAGUGCCGGGUGUGCCCAGCCGGGCUGUUCUGUGGCUCAGAGGGUCUGACUCAACCAUCAGGAACAUGCGCUGCCGGGUUUCUGUGCCUGACGGGCGCCACGGUGCCGAACCCGACUGACAACACAACGGGGUCGCUCUGUCCGCCUGGGACGUUCUGCCAACAGGGCCAAAGAGCGGGUGACUGCUGGCCGGGCUUUUAUUGCGACUGGGGCUCCAGCAGAGCGGAUCGGGCCCUGUGCCCGGCUGGCUCCUUCUGCCCCGGUGGAACGCCCGUCCCUGUGCCAUGUCCUGCAGGAACGUAUGGCCCCGACACCGGCAACGCCCAUCAAGACAACUGCUCCACCUGCACGGCUGGCUACUACUGUGAAGUUGAGGGCACCGUGCAGCCCGCCCUGUGUCCUGCUGGGUUCUACUGCCCUCCAGGGCUGGUCCUGGGACUGCUGUUCCCCUGCCCCCCUGGCACCGUGCAGAGCCGGCUCGGAGCUUCCGGUCCCGAUGCUUGUCUGCCCUGCCCUGCUGGGAUGUUCUGCGCUCGUCCCGGUCAGUCCCAGCCCACAGGGCCCUGUGAGGCAGGAUUUCUCUGUCCCGCCGGGUCCACCAGCCCAAAUGCUGCUGAGCACCAGGGGAAUUCAACCAGAAGCAGCCUUUGCCCUCCCGGCUACUACUGCCCCUCGGGGACCGGCCACCCCCUCCCCUGCCCCCCGGGCUCGCUCUCCAAAGCCCAGGGCCUGAAACGCGCUGAAGACUGCCCGCCCUGCCCCUCUGGACUCUUCUGUGACAGGCCUGCGAUGUCGGAGCUGUCAGAUGCUCUCCCGUGCCACGCUGGGCAUGUGUGCCAGGGCGGCAGCUCCAGUCCCAGCCCAUCAGACGGUUCCCAUGGCUACCUCUGCCCUGCCGGCCAUAGCUGUCCUGUUGGCUCUGCGAGCGAGGUGCCCUGUGAGCCUGCAACUUACAGCCCUGCUCCUGGAGCAGCUCGCUGCAUAAUGUGCCCUGAAGGGACCGUGUGCUCCUCCACAGCCACUCAGGAGCCCUCUCUUUGCCCCGCUGGUGAGGAUGCUGUAAAUAAUUUACCCCUUUGUGUAAAGUAUCAGCGUCCAGUAGUGCCCAGUGGUCAGAUACCUUUUUUUUAA